CCUGAUCCUAAAACUAAGCAAGUUUUGGUCUUCCUGAAAACUAACAGCUGGUUCAACUGCAGAAAUAACUGACUGAUAUCUCAGUUGAUUGAUUGAUUCUCACAAAGGAGAUGGAAAAACUAUUUCUACGUCAUCCAAGGAAGUCAUGUCCAGCUCCUUGCAACCCCAUGGACUGUAGCCCACCAGGCUCCUCUUCCAUGGGAUUCUCCAGGCAAGAAUACUGAAGUGGGUUACCGUACCCUCCUCCAAGGGAUCUUUCUGACACAGGGAUUGAACCUGCAUCUCCUGCAUCUCCUAUGUUACAGGAGGAUUCUUUACUGCUAAGCUACCAGGAAGCCCAAGAACCAGACUAUUGACCUGAUAGCUCAGCCGGUAAAGAAUCCACCCGCUACGUAGGAGACCCCUGGUUCAAUCGCUGGGUCAGAAGAUCCCCUGGAGAAGGGGGCUUCCUUGAUGGCUCAGGCUGUAAAGAAUCCACCUGCAACGAGAGACACCCAGGUUCAAUCCCUGGGUUUGGUAAGAUCGCCUGGGUAAGAGAGCGGCUACCCACUCCAGUGUUCUCGUCUGGAGAAGUCCAUGGACAGAGGAACCUGAUGGGCUACAGUCCCAUGGGGUCCCAAAGAGGCACAGGACUGAGUGAUUCACACACACACUACACCACAUAGCCUUGAAGCAUUCUAUACUUUACCCUCGGGACACACUAUAGUCCUGGAAACUUCUUCUGUAUCUAAUAAUGACAAUUCAUCUUUAGCAUUAAGACAGAAAAAUAUCUGGAUGGAGACAUAUCAAAAUGUUAACAGUGGUCACCUCCUGAGGAGGGAAGUUGAACGAGUG